rnacentral:misc_RNA from 1 species
CCUCAUAAGCCUUAAGGGACUGAUCCGCAGCGUCUUUACGAUCGUCACCAGCUUUAAACUCAGCCAAAUAACGAUAAUAGUCUCCUUUCAUCUUAUAGUAAAAAACAGUUGAUUCCCCUGAGGUGGAGGAGGGAAGAAGAUGUUGAUCAAUCACAGAUAAUAUGUCAUUGCAGAUCUUUGCAAGCUCAUCUUCAACCCUUUGCCGAUACUCCUUUAUCCUCUUCACAUU